UACGAAGGGGGCUAGCGUUGCUCGGAUUGACUGGGCGUAAAGGGCGCGUAGGCGGUUCGUACAGUCAGACGUGAAAUUCCUGGGCUCAACCUGGGGGCUGCGUUUGAUACGUGCGGACUUGAGUGCGGAAGAGGGUCGUGGGAAUUCCCAGUGUAGAGGUGAAAAUUCGUAGAUAUUGGGAAGAACACCGGUGGCGAAGGCGGCGACCUGGUCCGAUACUGACGCUGAGGCGCGAAAGCGUGGGGAGCAAACAGG
rnacentral:rRNA from 1 species